UAAAGAUAAAGAUACUAAAGUGAGGCCAUCAGAGCCCUUAGGUGAGGUCAGAGUCCUCAGGUGAGGUCAUCAGAGCCCUCAGGUGAGGUCAAAGUUCACAGGUUUGGUCAUCAGAAUCCUCGAGUCAGGUCAGAGACCACAGGUGAGGUCAUCAGAGCCCUCAGGUGAGGUCAAAGUCCACAGGUGAGGUCAUCAGAGCCCUCAGGUGAGGUCAAAGUUCACAGGUUUGGUCAUCAGAGUCCUCGAGUCAGGUCAGAGCCCUCAGGUGAGGUCAAAGUUCACAGGUUUGGUCAUCAGAGUCCUCGAGUCAGGUCAGAGUCCACAGGUGAGGUCAUCAGAGCCCUCUGGUGAGGUCAAAGUCCACAGGUGAGGUCAUCAGAGCCCUCAGGUGACGUCAAAGUCCACAGGUUUGGUCAUCAGAGUCCUCGAGUCAGGUCAGAGUCCACAGGUUAAGUCAUCAGGUCCUCAGGUGAGGUCAUCAAAGUCUUCGGGUGAUGUCAAAUUCCUCAGGUGAGGUCAGAGUCCUCAGGUCAGGUCAUCAGAGGCCUCAGCUUUCUCUCAGGUCAGAGAAACAACAAAUACUGAAGCUUCACAAGCUUAGUAAAACAUGCCAAAUAAGUAGGAAUCAAACUUCUCUGUAAACAUUAAGUGCAAACACUAUGUAAAAUAAAGCUGCUGAAACUCUGACUCAACAAAUUAUGAGGCUUCAGCAGCUUAGUAAAACAUUCCACAUAAAUGGGAAUCAAACUUCUCUGUGAACAUUUAGU